rnacentral:rRNA from 1 species
UAUUGGUCAAUGGGCGGGAGCCUGAACCAGCCAAGUCGCGUGAGGGAUUAAGGCCCUACGGGUCGUAAACCUCUUUUGCCGGGGAGCAGGGCGGCGGAAGUGUCCGCAGUUUGAGAGUCCCCGGAGAUAAAGCAUCGGCUAACUCCGUGCCAGUAGCCGCGGUAAUACGGAGGAUGCCAGAGUUAUCCGGAUUUAUUGGGUUUAAAGGGUGCGUAGGCGGGCUUUUAAGUCAGCGGUAAAAAUUCGGGGCUCAACCCCGUCCGGCCGUUGAAACUGGGGGCCUUGAGUGGGCGAGAAGAAGGCGGAAUGCGUGGUGUAGCGGUGAAAUGCAUAGAUAUCACGCAGAACCCCGAUUGCGAAGGCAGCCUUCCGGCGCCCUACUGACGCUGAGGCACGAAAGUGCGGGGAUCGAAC